GUUCUCAGUUCGGACUGCAGUCUGCAACUCGACUGCACGAAGCUGGAAUCGCUAGUAAUCGCGGAUCAGCACGCCGCGGUGAAUACGUUCCCGGGCCUUGUACACACCGCCCGUCACACCAUGGAAGUCUGCAAUGCCCGAAGCCGGUGGCCUAACCACUUAUGUGGAAGGAGCCGUCUAAGGCAGGGCAGAUGACUGGGGUGAAGUCGUAACAAGGUAUC
rnacentral:rRNA from 1 species